UACAGAGACUGCAAGCGUUAUUCGGAUUCACUGGGCGUAAAGGGUGCGCAGGCGGCCGAGUGUGUGAGGCGUGAAAGCCCGGGGCUUAACCCCGGAAUUGCACCUCAAACUACACGGCUAGAGCAUUGGAGAGGGUAGCAGAAUUCACGGUGUAGCAGUGAAAUGCGUAGAUAUCGUGAGGUAUACCAGAGGCGAAGGCGGCUACCUGGACAAUUGCUGACGCUCAGGCACGAAAGCGUGGGGAGCAAAAGGG
rnacentral:rRNA from 1 species